CUCUCUCAUCUCGCCCGCCUCUCUUAGACGCUCUCAGUCUCACCUCCCUCAACUGUGUAUUUCUGUCUCUCAGUCUCCCUCAGCCGGUUUCGCUCUCUCUC